GAUGAGGAACGUAGCGAAAUGCGAUAAGUAAUGUGAAUUGCAGAAUUCAGUGAAUCAUCGAAUCUUUGAACGCACAUUGCGCCCGCCAGUAUUCUGGCGGGCAUGCCUGUUCGAGCGUCAUUUCAACCCUCAAGCCCCCGGGCUUGGUGUUGGGGAUCGGCGUGCCCUCGCGGCGCGCCGUCCCCUAAAUCUAGUGGCGGUCUCGCUGUAGCUUCCUCUGCGUAGUAGCAACACUCGCACUGGAUCGCAGCGCGGCCACGCCGUUAAACCCCCCACUUCUGAAAGUUUGACCUCGGAUCAGGUAGGAAUACCCGCUGAACUUAAGCAUAUAAUAAGCGGAGGA
rnacentral:misc_RNA from 1 species